rnacentral:rRNA from 1 species
GUCCACGCCGUAAACGUUGGGCGCUAGGUGUGGGGCUCAUUCCACGAGUUCCGUGCCGCAGCUAACGCAUUAAGCGCCCCGCCUGGGGAGUACGGCCGCAAGGCUAAAACUCAAAGGAAUUGACGGGGGCCCCGCACAAGCGGCGGAGCAUGUUGCUUAAUUCGAUGCAACGCGAAGAACCUUACCUAGGCUUGACAUGCACGGAAAUCUCCCAGAGAUGGGGGGUCCGUAAGGGCCGUGCACAGGUGGUGCAUGGUUGUCGU